CAGCCCUUUCCCAGGAUGCACCUGCUGACGCUCACCACAGACACUGUUUCCUCCCGAACGUGAUGACAGUGGCUGCCACCUAGGCAUCUGCAUCGCUGUCUUCAAGACUUUGGAGUUCUCAAAGGUACAGGGGGGAGGAGGGGUAUACCAGCCACUUCCAUAUUCAACUUCCAAAAGCUAGAGAUGUCAGUUAAAUAACCCCACACGUGCUGACAAGGUUCUGUCGAGGACCCCAGGCUUUCUGUCAUAGUAGGCCAAUCUCAUUUCAAAAGCGGCAGCAAAACCACACCUAUUCCUAACAACAGCAGAGCACAGAACUGAAUUAAGGAUGCUGAUUAUCAGCUAAAAGGUUCCAAGAGAAAGACCGAACUUGGGGCUUUCCUGACAACCCACUCAUUUACUAAGCAUCUUCUACAGCAUACACAGACAUAAGCCCCUUAAAAUCAGAGUACGUGAGAAUACUUUUCAUUUGGAAAUAAAUCCCAUGAUACACCCGUAUAGAAUACACUGACUAUACUUAAACACUUUAAGCUUCAUCACCAUGUGGGACACUAUGGAAUUAGCUAAAUCCGUUCUUGAAGGUUAGUUUCCCUAAGGAAAAAUGCUCUCUUCAGGGAAAAAAACUUGGGCGGAAUACAUUACUGAGAUGUUACCAAAUCAAAAAAAGUGAAGGGUACAUGUGAUAAUAUCAGAUAAGGUAGCAUAAAAAUAUCACUACGCCAUGUUACAUAAUCUCGAAAGGAUAUACACACAUAAGAUCAAUGAGGCUAAGUUAAAAUAUUGUCGUUAUGAUUAAGGUAACUUAUCUCUACAAAACACACAUCUCAACAAGGAAAAUAAAGAAAAAUGGAUAUGGUGAGAUUUUAAAACUUCUUCAUGCUACUUUUCUGACUCAAAGAAAGGGCAACGCUGCAGUGACUCCCACAGGAUGAGGCUCACCUGGGAUGUGACAACACACUGGGCUGUGGGGGUCUGCGUGGGAGGCUACUGCCUGGGAAAGUCCCAGGCAACAUGAAGUUGAUGUCUCCCAGCACAAAAAACACCCUGGAGCACCCCCAAAAUGUACUCAUCCCAGUCCCAAGUAGAAGAAUCCACACAAACCAGGAACUUCGCUCAUGCUGAAGCCACGUGCCCUGGAAUUGAUUUGUGUUGACUGCCACAAUUGAUUCAAGUGAAAUUGAUUCACAACUUGAAGCAGAGGAAAAAACUAAAAGCAGUGCCCCUUUCAAACAGCAGUGCCCACCACAACUGUUACUCCAAGUUCUGAACUGUGCUGUGGAGGACCUGGAAGUGGGUUUUCUCCCCCUUAAUCAUGAAAAUAGCUGACGUUUGUGGUGGCUUUCAGCACAGAAGUUCCUUUUGGAUUCUUACUAAAGAUGGGUAGAUCGAACAUAAGCAUUUACCUCUGCUACCCGCAAAACCCAGUAAGACACGAAAUGCUUUUUUAAAAAGGCAUAGACCUGUAAGAACAAAGUGGGAGAACAGAUACUAGCACGCAUAUUAUAAAAGGGGAAAUCAGACAGAGCAGUCUCUGUCUCUGCAUACUCAAGGAAAGCCAAACCCUAAGCUGGGGGAGCAAUCCCACAAGGAAAAACACAUCCAACUGUCCCCAGGCCCAGGGACAGAAGUGGGUAGCACCAGCUAGGCUGAGAAUGGUGGUAAAUAAGGGAAAAUCACUGAGUCUGUUCAACUACGCUGAGAAUGGUGGUGAAUAAGGAAAAUCACUGAGUCUGUUCAGCUACGCUGAGAAUGGCGGUAAAUAAGGAAAAUCACUGAGUUUGUUCAAAAAGCAGUUUGACUCAUUCAUCAUGAAAUGCAAAUUAAAACUACACUGAGAUACCAUUUCUCACCUAUCAGAUUGGCAAAAAUCCAAAAUCUCAAUGACAUACUCUGUUGGCCAAGCUGAGGGAAACAG
rnacentral:lncRNA from 1 species